AGUAUCGCGGCCAGAAGAGUCCUCCGUAAAAGGGUCCGUCCCGCAUAAUGAGUGUUUACUUACCGUAACAUUGGCAUUGCGGAUAGGAAGGAAGUUAGUAGGUAUGCAUAUAUACACACACACACACACACACACACACACACACAGUAGGUAAUUGCCCUUCACUAAGCUACCGUUUGUUGUACGUAUCACGCAUAUUUUGCAUUAAAACAACGCCGCGGAAAAAGGUGUCGGCGCGGCGAAAAACGUCAAGAUACGAACUUUG